rnacentral:lncRNA from 1 species
CCGGGGUCAACCAAAUCUUUAAUAAGGUCUAUCAUUGAGUUCAUUCCUUCUUCAGCAAUGUUUCAGUCAGAUUUAAUACUUAAUAAUCUAAUAGCAACAGACAAACGAGAGUGCGAACACUCAUCAAACACAGAAUGACUAGCAGCAUACAAUUCUUUGUAGAAAUUGCCCGCUUCACUAUUAGGAAAAUCUUCAACAUUUUCUCUAAACUCAACCCCAUGUUGUAUCCCAAAAGCAUCGUGCACUAUUUCUGUCAUCCUAGUAUCUUGAUAUUCACUAUGCCCUG